rnacentral:rRNA from 1 species
UACGUAGGGUGCGAGCGUUUGUCCGGAAUUAUUGGGCGUAAAGAGCUCGUAGGCGGUUCGUCGCGUCGGCUGUGAAAUCCCGAGGCUCAACCUCGGGUCUGCAGUCGAUACGGGGCAGGCUAGAGUUCGGUAGGGGAGACUGGAAUUCCUGGUGUGAGCGGUGGAAUGCGCAGAUAUCAGGAGGAACACCGAUGGCGAAGGCAGAUCUCUGGGCCGGUAACUGGACGCUGGAGGAGCGAAAGCAUGGGGAGCGAACAGG